ACGCUUGAAGUCAGUCACGUCGACCGAGACUCAGCCUUGCCUCGGCUUGGUGUACUUCUCGGCCAACGGGUCAGCAUCAAUUUUGCCCCUUGGAUAAUGGCGAGGGAAAUGUGACACCUUUAUGGUGUGUUAUAGUCUCUCGUCGCAUGCAAGGGUUGGGAUUGAGGAACUCAGCACGCGCCUUUGGGUGUCGGGGCUUUGCCCACGAUACGUGCUUAGGAUGUUGGCAUAAUGGCUUUAAACGACCCGUCUUGAAACACGGACCAAGGAGUC
rnacentral:rRNA from 1 species